CUUUUACAUUCGUAGGCCAUUCAGUAAUUGAUAAAAUUUCAACCUUGGACGAUUAUCGAUACACAUUUCGAUAAUAUAUGUAUCGUUUCAGUGUGGAUUUUACUGGUUUUCGAUAAAGAAUGACCUCUGACAAGCCAGGCAUAGUGUAUGUGAGGCGAUAUGCUUCGGAUGCUGAGGAGGCUGUGAAGAUCCUGAAGAAAGAUUCUUUCGUUCUGAAUGGAAUGCCCCCCCAACUGGAGCCACUUGGCUUGUCUGCAGAACGCCAGUGGUACCUUCAUGACGAAAUCGCGCCACUCUGUAACUCAUUAUGUGCCAGUACCUGUCCACGGCCAGAUGUACCGAAGCCGACGAAAUAACAAUGAUUUUAAAAUAGUUCCCCUGUUUUAGAUUGUUCAUGUUGUUUAUGUAUAUAAUGUAUGGUAACCAUGGAAACCUGACCAUACCUCAUUGUCAACUUCAACAACAUUAGUAUGUUUUUGUAAAACUAUUACAAUGACGCAAUACCAGGUGAAAUGAAAUAUAAUGCAGUGUGACAAGUAAUAUAAUUGAAUUUAAAAUUUAAUAGUUGUGUAUAUAAACUGAAAACAUUAAUUUAAUGUAAAUAUUUAUGUUAAGUCUCUUAGCCUUGGCUCUAUUUUUCAUGCAGUAUGUAAUAUAGUAUAAAUGUAACAGUAAGAAAUUGUUGAUUGCAUUUGAUAACUAAAGAGUGUAGUAUUAUUGCUAUGUUUAAUGUAGAAGAUGGUAAUUAUAAUUGAUAUUCAUAUUGUUUACUGUUGCCAUGGUUACAACAAAAUAAUUAUGUGUAUGUCAUGUAUUAAUUUAAAAGUCUUUAAUUAAUGAACAAUGUCUCAUGUAAAAUAUAAUUGUUCUUGGAACAGUUUAAAGAAGAAUUUUCAAUUUUAAUACGUCAUGGUUCGCAUAUUAAAUCUUAGCAAGUGUAUUCUAUGUAAUUCAAUUUCGGUUAGAGUCUGUGAUCAAUAGAACAAAUUGAUAGAUAGAACAUGUAUACAAUUAAUUGAUUCGUGUAUUAAGUAACAGUUCUUUGAUAUAUGUAUAUUACUUUCUUGCAUUUUAAGGUGUGAGGAAAUGCUUUGAACUGAUUUUGUAAAAAAAAUCAAUUAUUUUGAAGUUUUUGCAAAUGGUUGCUAUGGUAACCGAAAUUUGUUUCGUAAUGGUCUUAUAAAUUUACAUUAAUUUAAUAUUAUAAGUUUUGUCCUUGUAAAAGGACAGUGAGUGAGUGAUUUUCCUCUGCAAUUAUAAAUCUAUUGAACCAUAAUGCAAUUGACAUGAAAAUAAAUGAACAGAAUGACAAA